rnacentral:rRNA from 1 species
AGACCCGAAACCCGGUGAUCUAGCCAUGGGCAGGUUGAAGGUUGGGUAACACUAACUGGAGGACCGAACCGACUAAUGUUGAAAAAUUAGCGGAUGACCUGUGGCUGGGGGUGAAAGGCCAAUCAAACCGGGAGAUAGCUGGUUCUCCCCGAAAGCUAUUUAGGUAGCGCCUCGUGAAUUCAUCUCCGGGGGUAGAGCACUGUUUCGGCUAGGGGGCCAUCCCGGCUUACCAACCCGAUGCAAACUGCGAAUACCGGAGAAUGUUAUCACGGGAGACACACGGCGGGUGCUAACGUCCGUCGUGAAGAGGGAAACAACCCAGACCGCCAGCUAAGGUCCCAAAGUCAUGGUUAAGUGGGAAACGAUGUGGGAAGGCCCAGACAGCCAGGAUGUUGGCUUAGAAGCAGCCAUCAUUUAAAGAAAGCGUAAUAGCUCACUGGUCGAGUCGGCCUGCGCGGAAGAUGUAACGGGGCUAAACCAUGCACCGAAGCUGCGGCAGCGACGCUGAUGCGUUGUUGGGUAGGGGAGCGUUCUGUAAGCCUGUGAAGGUGUGUCGUGAGGCAUGCUGGAGGUAUCA